UACAGAGGGUGCAAGCGUUGUUCGGAAUUACUGGGCGUAAAGGGCGUGUAGGUGGCCAACUAAGUCCGACGUGAAAUCCCCAGGCUUAACCUGGGAACUGCGUCGGAUACUGGAUGGCUUGAAUUCGGGAGAGGAAUGCAGAAUUCCCGGUGUAGAGGUGAAAUUCGUAGAUAUCGGGAGGAACACCAGUGGCGAAGGCGGCGAUCUGGGAAGAUACUGACGCUGAGGUGCGAAAGCGUGGGGAGCAAACAGG
rnacentral:rRNA from 1 species